CCAAUAGCGUAUAUUAAAGUUGUUGCAGUUAAAAAGCUCGUAGUUGAAUUUCGGGAUCAAUGGGUUGGUCAUGCCCUCGGUAUGUACUGAUUUCAUUGGUUCUCACCUUCUAAGGAACCAUGAUGUCAUUUAUUUGAUGUUGUGGGAAAUUAGGACUGUUACCUUGAAAAAAUUAGAGUGUUUAAAGCAGGCUAACGCUUGAAUACAUUAGCAUGGAAUAAUGAAAUAGGACAUCCGAUUCUAUUUUGUUGGUUUCUAGGACCGAUGUAAUGAUUAAUAGGGAUAGUUGGGGGCAUUAGUAUUCAAUUGUCAGAGGUGAAAUUCUUGGAUUUACUGAAGACUAACUACUGCGAAAGCAUUUGCCAAGGAUGUUUUCAUUAAUCAAGAACGAAAGUUAGGGGAUCGAAGACGAUCAGAUACCGUCGUAGUCUUAACCAUAAACUAUGCCGACUAGGGAUCGGAGGAUGCUUAUUUUUUAAUGACUCAUUCGGCACCUUAC
rnacentral:rRNA from 1 species